AAGUGGCGACAUGGAGCAAAUCCCAAAAAUAACGUCCCAGUUCGGGUUGUAGUCUGCAACCCGACUACAUGAAGCCGGAAUCGCUAGUAAUCGCGGAUCAGAAUGCCGCGGUGAAUACGUUCCCGGGUCUUGUACACACCGCCCGUCACACCAUGGGAGUUGGAAAUGCCCGAAGUCAGUGGCCCAACCGGAAGGGGGGAGCUGCCGAAGGCAGGUUCGAUGACUGGGGUGAAGUCGUAACAAGGUAUC
rnacentral:rRNA from 1 species